rnacentral:rRNA from 1 species
UCCCGUUGAUCCUGCCGGACCGCACUGCUAUCGGGAUGGGACUGAGACAUGCUAGUUGAGCGCCUUCCAGCCAUGUGGGAGGCGCAGCGCACAGCUCAGUAACACGUGGCUAACCUGCGCCCUUGGGACGAGAACAACCCCGGGAAACUGGGGAUAAUCCUCGAUAGGUGAAGAACUCUGGAAUGAGUCUUUGCUUAAAAGGCGUUGGAUCAUGCUUUCAGCGUCGCCCAAGGAUGGGGCCGCGACCGAUCAGGUCGUUGGUGAGGUAAUGGCCCACCAAGCCUUUUACCGGUGCGGGCCGUGAGAGCGGGAGCCCGGAGAUGGGCACUGAGACAAGGGCCCAGGUCCUACGGGGCGCAGCAGUCGCGAAAACUUUGCAAUACACGAAAGUGUGACAGGGUCAUCCCGAGUGCCGACCGCUGAGGUUGGCUUUUACCCAGCCUAGAAAGCUGGGGGAAUAAGGAGAGGGCAAGUCUGGUGUCAGCCGCCGCGGUAAUACCAGCUCUCCGAGUGGUGUGGACGUUUAUUGGGCCUAAAGCAUCCGUAGCUGGCUGAACAAGUCCCCUGUUAAACCCACCGAUUUAAUCGUUGGUCUGCGGGGGAUACUGCUCGGCUAGGGGACGAGAGAGGCAGACGGUAUUCCCGGGGUAGGGGUGAAAUCCUAUAAUCCCGAGAAGACCACCAGUGGCGAAGGCUGUCUGCUAGAACGCGCCCGACGGUGAGGGAUGAAAGCUGGGGGAGCGAACCGGAUUAGAUACCCGGGUAGUCCCAGCUGUAAACGAUGCAGACUAGGUGUUUGGACGGCCACGUGCCGUUCUAGUGCCGCAGGGAAGCUGUUAAGUCUGCCGCCUGGGGAGUACGGUCGCAAGACUGAAACUUAAAGGAAUAUUG